GUGUAGCCUUAAUGGAUACCAUACCAAUGUCAAGGAAGUCAAAGUUUGCUGUUUUCAAAGCGUUUGGAUGGUUUUACCUCAUCAUGUAUAGUUUCACAGACGGUCACACCUGACCACAGCGCUGCAGCACGUCCUCUCUGAAGCACAGAAACCCAUCCUGCACCUCACCAUCAUUCAGCGCAAAAGACAGGAAGUGGAUGACUGGCUGGUUCCUCCGAAAUCUGUUGAUCAAAACCUCAGUGCUGUUGACAGCUGUGAUCACUGAAUAUAAUAUACCUGAGAAAAGACAAGAAUACGACAGAGAUGCAUACAAGAUUUCAGAGUGUUUCGAGGCCGAAUGUAACAGUG